AGGGACCUCAAGGUAGGAUGCUGAACACUUUCACUCAGAGAAGCACUGGGCAGCAGGCUGCAAAACUCUGAUGAAGUCCUGAAACUCAGGAGAGACGUUAUUGUUGAAUAUUGCCAUAAAUCCUUCCAUCCUCCAUCACUGUCUUUGCUGUCUCCAGAUGGAUGCACCUUCCUCAACUUGUGGUUCAUCCCUCAGCCUACUGAGGUGUUGAUCAUGUUCAAACCACUUCCAGAGAAGGCUGCUCUCAGAGCUCUCCACCUAAGCCUAGAAAUCGUUGGUGCAUUUCACAACGUGGUUUCGUAUCUCCUGGCUUCUGCUCAAUUAGGAAAUUCCCCCAACUGCUUUUGUGCCUUAAACCCAGAGCCUCUGACCCCAGACUGAGGGGGGGCUGACAGGAUUGGGAAUGAACUUCAAGACAUACAGAAAAUGAUUGACAGCCUCCAGAAUCCACUGUAUCCCAGAGAAGUGGCCCAGCUGCCAACCAUUCACAGAGAAGUGGUCUUUGUACAGUUUGAUGCAGCAAUUGGGCAUCGACUAUGGUAGCAAUUACAGCCGGUUAGGGAUGGGACUGGCACCUUCUGUAUAAAGAGACUUUUAUUUUUUGUUCACAAAGAAAGAAAAAAAUGUAUGAAAGAUGAAUUUGAAUUUCAUUCAUGGUAUCUGCUUGAAGAUCAUGAAAUAUGCUCUGUAAGUGUAGAUAUUUUCCUUUCAUUAAAAGUGCUCAUUUUCCU